UACGUAGGGCGCAAGCGUUGUCCGGAAUUAUUGGGCGUAAAGAGCUCGUAGGCGGUUUGUCGCGUCUGCCGUGAAAACCCGAGGCUUAACCUCGUGGCUUGCGGUGGAUACGGGCAGACUAGAGGUAGGUAGGGGAGAAUGGAAUUCCCGGUGUAGCGGUGAAAUGCGCAGAUAUCGGGAGGAACACCGGUGGCGAAGGCGGUUCUCUGGGACGGUACUGACGCUGAGACGUGAAAGCGUGGGGAGCGAACAGG
rnacentral:rRNA from 1 species